rnacentral:rRNA from 1 species
UACGAAGGGGGCUAGCGUUGUUCGGAAUUACUGGGCGUAAAGCGCACGUAGGCGGAUAUUUAAGUCAGGGGUGAAAUCCCGGGGCUCAACCCCGGAACUGCCUUUGAUACUGGGUAUCUCGAGUCCGAGAGAGGUGAGUGGAAUUCCGAGUGUAGAGGUGAAAUUCGUAGAUAUCGGGAGGAACACCAGUGGCGAAGGCGGCGAUCUGGGAAGAUACUGACGCUGAGGUGCGAAAGCGUGGGGAGCAAACAGGG